rnacentral:rRNA from 1 species
GGGACAAAGUGACAGGUGGUGCAUGGUUGUCGUCAGCUCGUGUCGUGAGAUGUUGGGUUAAGUCCCGCAACGAGCGCAACCCUUAAGCUUAGUUGCCAGCAUUAAGUUGGGCACUCUAAGUUGACUGCCGGUGACAAACCGGAGGAAGGUGGGGAUGACGUCAAAUCAUCAUGCCCCUUAUGAUUUGGGCUACACACGUGCUACAAUGGACAAUACAAAGGGCAGCUAAACCGCGAGGUCAUGCAAAUCCCAUAAAGUUGUUCUCAGUUCGGAUUGUAGUCUGCAACUCGACUACAUGAAGCUGGAAUCGCUAGUAAUCGUAGAUCAGCAUGCUACGGUGAAUACGUUCCCGGGUCUUGUACACACCGCCCGUCACACCACGAGAGUCUGUAACACCCGAAGCCGGUGGAGUAACCAUUUAUGGAGCUAGCCGUCGAAGGUGGGACAAAUGAUUGGGGUGAAGUCGUAACAAGGUAGCCGUAUCGGAAGGUGCGGCUGGAUCACCUC